ACACACUCCUCUGCAGAAGUUCUUUUCAUCUUGGGGAACCACACAACUGAGGAAUACUACCCUCCCUCCAAAGCUUAGACAUCCGCUGCCUUUCAUGCGUUAUCCGCCGGUUAGGUUAUGCUUAUUAGGGUUUAGUGAAGCCACCAGCGUAUAAGCUGCCAACAGAGAAGAAGCAACAAUGGUCUUGGCAGGCAGGAUGCGAUAACGAAGUGUCCAAUCUCAUUUCAUGGAAUUCGCAGUAUCGUCGUGACCAUUGAAAGAUAAGUAUUUUACAUGAUGCAAGUUACUGUUGAUUCUGGUGUUUUGUUUGCAACACUGAUGAACAGGCACAAGGAUUGACUCUACUUAAGUUUUUCUAUUCAUAUACUGAGUGUAGAAACUGAAUACUUUGUUUGCUGGAUUGCUGAUUUUUUUGAACAUUUGAGUGAUAUGUUUUUGCACCAUGAUGAGCAUGUAGUUGAGGAUGACGAUGAUGAGGAAGACGAGGACGACGAUAAUGAUGAGGAAGAUGAUGAUGUAGAAGAACUGUAGACCUCUAAUCAUCAUGACUGCAUCAUUCAAUGCCUACCGUUGUUGCAGCUUCAUGUAUCCCGCUGAUGUUUUCAGGAGAGCCAAAAUUCAGUCUUUAUUGGUUUGGCAUCACUCUAAUUUAUGAUAUGUAGCGGGUACUUUACGCGUGUACGUCGAGGGAGCAGACUGCUUAUUAUGCUAAGGUUUCGCUGAAUGAUGUUCCAGUUGCGCUUGAUAUUCUGGCUGAUAUUCUUCAGAAUUCAAAGUUUGAUGAGAAUCGGAUCAGCCGGGAGCGGGAUGUUAUUCUUAGGGAAAUGGAAGAGGUGAUAGCUGCAUCUGGAGCUGUAAAGCAUGAAUAUUUUGUUGAACAGGUGAAAAAAAAUAUUUACUAAGUUGUCUACAAAUCCCUCCACAACAUCUCAGUUGGUAGAAAAGAACCAACAGUUUUUACUGGUUCCGAGGUAA